GUCUACACACUAGGAUGGGGGAGGACUUUGUGUGAACUAACCACUUUAUUUGAUAAGACUAACCGCUCACUUGAGCAGUGAUUGCAGAUGAUAAACAGGCGAGAAAGAGAGACAACUCCUCCUCGCCCAAGCUUCACAACUUUCCCAGAAAUCGAAUUUCACGGCAAUGCGUGGGGGGGGAACCUGAACACGUGACCUGUUACAGCUCCGCCAUCUUCUGCCCUCACGAACCUCCGCUGCACUUGACUUUUCUCAUCACCUGAGCUUCAGCUGCACUGGAGUCUUCUGCUGCCAUGAACAGCAACUGCACUUGGCCUCUGACUCAUCUACUUCAGCUGAGCUUUUGUUUUGUUUAUGAGACAGGGUGAACCACCUAUAGAUUACAGUCCAAGCUUUCACUAAGCUAUGGCGUCUUUCUGUUCCACGAUACUGACAGGGUAUGACAUCUGAUUGUUAUACUGACAUCUGAUUGUUAUACUGACAUCUGAUUGUUAUACUGACAGGACGACUGACUGUUCUACUGACAUCUGAUUGUUCUACUGACAGGACGACUGACUGUUCUACUGACAGGACGACUGAUUGUUCUACUGACAUCUGAUUGUUCUACUGACAGGACGACUGAUUGUUCUACUGACAUCUGAUUGUUCUACUGACAGGACGACUGAUUGUUCUACUGACAUCUGAUUGUUAUACUGACAUCUGAUUGUUAUACUGACAGGACGACUGACUGUUCUACUGACAGGACGACUGAUUGUUCUACUGACAUCUGAUUGUUCUACUGACAGGACGACUGAUUGUUCUACUGACAUCUGAUUGUUCUACUGACAGGACGACUGAUUGUUCUACUGACAUCUGAUUGUUAUACUGACAUCUGAUUGUUAUACUGACAGGACGACUGACUGUUCUACUGACAUCUGAUUGUUCUACUGACAGGACGACUGAUUGUUCUACUGACAGGACGACUGACUGUUCUACUGACAUCUUAUUGUUCUACUGACAGGACGACUGACUGUUCUACUGACAUCUGAUUGUUCUACUGACAGGACGACUGACUGUUCUACUGACAUCUGACUGUUCUACUGACAGGAAUCUGACACUUAAUUGUUACGGAUUUUAAUGUAUGUUUGGAAAUUCCUUUAUUGUAGUUAAUGUCAUCUUAUCUGUUCAGACAGAAAUGUAUUUACAGGAAAUCUGUUAUCAUUACGACUUAAUGAUCUCAUGUAUAAUCUCACUUAAGACAUUGAUCUUACUUCAGUACCAAGGAAUUAAGUGGCUGAAUGAACUGGGAGAGAACGGACCUCCAUGAUCUGAAACUUCUUCACGCGCAGUAAAACACACAAGCCUUUGAGUCUGCUGAUGGGGCGUGCAGAAAACGUGUAUUUAUUAUUAUGUAAUAUUAUGUAUUCUUAUGGAUGAUGAUGAUGAUGAUGAUGAUGAUGAUGAUGAUGAUGAUGAUGAUGAUGAUGAUGAUGAUGAUGAUGAUGAUUUCAUACAGUGUACUCCGUGCCGACAGCAUCGACUGUGUUGAUGGUCUUCACCGUCUGCACGUGUGUGGCGACAUGACAGGUUAGUGCUGGUGAGUCUGUCCUCUCGCCUUAUGCUCACGCGCAUGUACGGAGGGCCGGGAGUCCCGCUGAUGCUGAAGAAAGAGCUGUUUGCUUUGAGCUCCUUACUGGGUGUCAGGGGCUAUCAGAAUGUGAAAACACAAAAUCCCAGAUAAAUACAGAGUGCCAGCCCGUGACCCCAUCCAGUCGGUCGCCUGGUGGAGCCACAUGUCAUCGCCUGGCAGUUUACUUGCAGUCGCCAGUCUCCGCAACAUCGAUCAUAAAACCUUUGCGCGUGCUAGUGCCUGCCAUGCACAUUGCCUAUUUGUAGCAAAAAACAAGUUGUUUUGCUUAUUUUCGCUUUAUUCACGAAAUAAAAUGAAACGA